GCCUACGGGGGGCAGCAGUGGGGAAUAUUGCACAAUGGGGGAAACCCUGAUGCAGCAACGCCGCGUGAGUGAGGAAGUAUUUCGGUAUGUAAAGCUCUAUCAGCAGGGAAUAGAAAAGAAGGUACCUGAAAAAGAAGCCCCGGCUAACUACGUGCUAGCAGCCGCGGUAAUACGUAGGGGGCAAGCGUUAUCCGGAUUUACUGGGUGUAAAGGGAGCGUAGACGGCAGGGCAAGUCUGGAGUGAAAGGCAGGGGCCCAACCCCUGGACUGCUCUGGAAACUGUCCGGCUGGAGGGCAGGAGAGGG
rnacentral:rRNA from 1 species